UUAAAAAUGUCUAAAAAUAUUUGAGAUCCUCUCAUACAUAUCAAGUUGCUUAAACUUAUUAGGUGCAUUUUUUAGGACAGUGAUGUUUGAAUUGCGCGUACUUUGAUUAUUCCACUGAUUGUCGGGUGAUUUGAACCUUAAUCUUUCAUGGGUUAUUCUACGUCAUUCACCACUAGACCACACUAUUAUGUGCGAUAAUAGGUAUUUUUCUCCAUGCUCGUAAAUUAUCUCAUUUUAUCUCAAAUUGAGAUGUAAAUUAUCUUGUUAGUACUUAACUGCUCAAAAUUUGUAGCUUUUGGUUUAUCAAUGGUUACUUUGGUCAAUUUUCAGAGUUUGAUAUUGUCCAUGAAUUCACUAAUAAAAUUUAAAUAUUGAAAAACUAAAAAAGUACAAUAAUUCCCUCGCAACCAAUUUGAGAUGUGUAUUUUGUAGUGACUUUCAGUCUAUUCAAUAGAAGAAUAAAGUCGGUGAGAUCCAAUAAAGUAGUGACAUUCGAGUGACACAUGUCCUGUAAAACUAGUGAAAUAAAGAUUUUAUGGAGGUGGGAUCAAUUGAAAUUACGAUUUUAAAAUUAUUUCAUUCCGUCGAAAAUCAACUUUACGGUAUAAACUAUAUAAUAUUAUUUGAUCUUGUAGUUCAAAUUAUUCCGUACCAUGACAUAUUUGAAAUAAGAUUAAUUAUUGCAAGAAGAAAGGACUGAAAUCUUAGGGAAGGGAAACGGGGCUUUGCAUGUGUAUGAGUUAAAGAAGGGGUGGGAAAAAGGCGAAAAGAGUUAAAACAGAAUUGAAUAAGGGAACAUGCAAGGAAGGAGAGAUGUCCAAAUUGAGAAAGUCAAUUAAAUAGGUCAUUUAGUGAGAAAAAAGUUUAAAAAGAAAAACGAAAAAGCAUAUAUUAUUUUUUAUAACAAUAAUUAAAAAUAAAAAGAAUGUUUAAUUGAAGAUGGUAGUAGAAGAUGAACACAAACAUUUAAUUUUGUAUUUAUCAUAUGACGUAAUGGCUAUUAUUCUCAACCGUCUCAAUUACUGUUUGCAUUUAUUUGAUUUUUAAUUGUUCUCGCAAUCAAAGAUGAAAUAUAGUAUCCCCUUCCCUCUUGUUUUCCAAUGCUCGAACUACCCAACCUCAAUCCAUUUCCAAUUACCAGAAUUACCCUUUUUCUUUGACCUAAUUAAAACAUUACAUGCAUGUACAUCGUAUAGUGUCAUCACAUUGAUUAUUUGGAUUUAUAAUAAUAUUGACGUUGAACUACUUCCAGAUUACCAUCAACUAUUUAAUAAAAUCCUCUUAGGGAUCGAUGUAUUAGAGAAAAUAAUAUAUGUGUUAGCUUUGAUAUUAUUAAUCCCUUAUUUGAUAAUGUUUUUCAACUUAUGUAUAACUAAUACUUAUAUUAGUUAUGUAUGCUAUUUAGUAUUAUUCUUAUACAUAGCAAACCGUCACAUUAGCAAUAUCAUAAUUUUUAAUACAUGGAUAAGCAUGUAUAAAGAUAGAACACAAGGGAAAGAGACCAGUGAAGAUCUGAAGUAGUUGUUGUUGCAAUUUCAUUCACGAACGGCUCUUUCUGUCUCCCCCCUCUCUCGAUCAAUUUUCCGGCAAGAUCCACAUGCUCCAAUCGGUGGACCUACCGUCCCCCCGACCCUUCAUACCCAAUCCAAGCAGCUAUACCUCAGCCAAAUUCCACCAAUAAUUUCAAAAUCCCACAACAAAGGAACUUCCCUCCCCUAAAUCUAGAAGGGAAUAUCAUUCAAGGUUCCAGAAUUACUGCUGCUAGUAAUGAAGUUGUCUCUCAUACAAGAAAUUUUGGUACUGAUCCCUCAUCCCAAACCUCCUAUAAAGGUGUGUUGAGGAAUGCAGAUAAAAGCAACAGACGAGGCUCUAUUACUCUCCCUUACAGACCAUUUGGUCUGUUUGAAGGAAAAUCAGUGGUUACCUUUACUAAAGAGGAGAAUGUUCUUCUUGCUCAGACAUGCAAAUGGACGAUUUUUGGUAAGUUCACUCGUAUUAGGCCCUCUAUAGAACUCAUAUGCAGUGAAUUUGCUAAAACUAUCCCUGGAAAAGGCAAUGUCAAGAUUGGGGCUUAUGAUAUGCACCACGUCUUUAUCGACUUUGAUAACAAAGAGGAUCACUCCGAGGUUAUUUCGAGAAAUUACAUGUCCUUUGGCAGAGAUAACACAAUGGUUAUACAAAAAUGGUCAACUUCAUUCAAACCUGAUGUCGAGUCGUCAUUCACUCAUGUCUGGAUUACUCUUCCUAGCCUUCCAUGGCACUAUUAUGAAUGAGAUGCUUUAUGCCGCAUUCUUGGACCUGUGAAAAUUCCUCUAAUCAUGGACAAGGCAACUAUGUCCAAAACAAGACCCACCACAACCAAAGUUAGGGUGGAGAUUAACUUAGCAAAACCUAUUGUCCAAGAGGUGCUCCUGGAAAUUAUCAACAGCGAAGGCAGUAAAGAAAUUGUGGUGUAAAAGAUUGAAUAUGAAAGCAUACCUGCCUUCUGCACUCAUUGCAAAAUGAGAGGGCAUUCUGAUGCUACAUGUAGAAUUUUGCAUCCAGAACUGAAAAAAGAAGUUGGGAGAAAGGAAAACAAACUCGGGAAUAUUGCUGUCUCCAACACGAUCACGCAGGAAAUCAACCAUCAAGAUACCAGCAAAAGAGGUGAAGACCAUCAGAUGAAUAGAGGAAACAUUAAUAUGUCAACCUCCAAAAUUGCAAACGCAGUCCCUAACCAUCAAAUGGUGCCUGAAGAUCUCAUGAAAGAAGCUGUUGAUGAAGAAGGAUGGAAAACAGUUGAGAGCAAGAAAGGAAAGGGAAAUGCGAAUCUAAGAACAAAGGGCACCGAGAUUGGCAUAGGAGGUAAUGACAAUACUGCCAAACAUUCUAAACAAGGAAGGGUUCAACAAGGUUACAAAGCCAAAGAAGGGCAAAACAUUGUGGUGGUAACACACAAUACUAUGAAAGGAAAUGAAGCCAUGAAUGUCGUAGCUGUUGACAACCCCCGAGUCAUUGUUUGAGGUAACUAUCAUCUCCACACAAUUGCCUCAGAAGCUUACCAGACUCGACAAGGAAAGAAACACCAAGAUCAAGAAGAAACCCCAAAUCCAGAAGGGUAAGGGAGGCCAAAGGAAAAUUAAACAAGGGAAAAAACUAGAUAUCCAGAGGAGAAAGAUGAUGAAUGCCAAGCCAUGGAUUUCAGCCAAGUUCAUGUGACAAAGGAAGAGAUGCAAAAAUUGAGCAGCAACAGGAAGAGAUUCAGUGCUAAAGACUUCAUUCCUAUUGAAGUUUCUAUAAUCCCAGAACCUACUGUUUUGGAUCAAAAUAAGGAGAUAGGUGAUGGCUUGGGUCAACUAAAUACCCCUCUUUAUGGAUUGGACCCCAAUUUGAUUGAUAGCUAUGAUGGAAUUUUUUAAAAAGAGAGAGUCCAUAAGGAAGCAGAAAAGGAUAGAAAAGAGGCUCAUACAUAUAACGAGCCCAUACAGUUAUCAAGCUCCACAAGAGAUGACACAACCUACAAAGAUCAGGAAAAUGACACUAUCAUGGAAGGCUUAACAGAGGAACAACCUAGCUCCAAAUCAGAUAAUGAACUAACUCAAACUGCCAGAAAGAGCUUGUUAAUUGAAGGCAGGAAGGAUACUACUAAUCAGGUUCAACAAAAUGUCACUUUUUUCAAUAAUUUGUCUCCAAGAAGGUUGCGAGAUUCGAGAAGGAGUGGAACAUGUUUCUUCUCUACUAUUGGAUCAUACAACAACCAAGGAUAUCAAACAUACACAUAGGCCUUUAUCCUUCUUCAUGACUGUAGUCUAUGCCAAAUGUGAUAAGCAACUAAGAAACCUCAUGUGGGAUGAUCUUAGAGAAACUGCCGGUACUAUCAAUGGUCCAUGGGGAUUUGUGGGGGACUUUAAUGUUAUUUCCAAUGUUGCAGAGAAACUAGGGGGCAGAGAUUUUAGAGUUGAGGAAAGUCUUGACUUCAUCUCUUAUCUUUCUGAUUGUGAGAUACAUGAUGGGGGUUAUGUAGGAUCUGGUUUCACAUGGACUGACAAUAGAGACCCCCCAAACACUAUAUGGAAAAGAUUGGACAUAUUGGUUUACAAUGCUGAAUGGUUUGAUCUAUUUGGUGGGACCUCAGUCACGCACAUGUCUAGAUCCUGUUCUGAUCGCUCUCCACUAUUGAUUGCUUGUGGUUCUAUUCCUUCUGAGCAUGUUAGGUAUUUCAAGUUUCUGAAUUUCUAGGUGGAUCACGAUGAGUACCUCAAUGUGAUUCAACAUGCAUGGCUUGGAGAAGACAAUGGCAAUCCUCUGUACAAUUUGCAUAAAAAAAUCAAGAGAGUAUACAAUGCAUUAAGCUCUUGAUCUAGAACUGCAUUUGGGGAUAUUUAUGAAGAACCAAAAAAACUUGAAAUGGAGAUUAGAAGAUUGGAAGAAGUCUACCUUAAUGACAACAACCAAGGCAACAUGCUCAAAUUAUCCAAAGCUAAGGCAGAAUUCACCAGAUUCCUGAAAUUGCAAGAUAGUGUGCUUAGACAAAAAGCCAGAGUAAGGUGGUUAUCUGAAGGUGAUGAAAACACUGCCUUCUUUCAUGGUGCCAUUUGUGAUAGAAAGAAAAAGUUAUCCAUCAUGAAGAUCAAAGAUUUUAAUGGUAAUUAGGUGGAGGGUACUACUGAGAUAGCUGAUGCUGGAGUAAGGUUCUUUCAUGAUCUUUUUAGCGUUGAUAACACCACUGAAGAUCUUCAAGCCUUGAAUAUUAUUAAAAAGGUCAUCAAUAAUGAUGAUAACAACUUCCUGAUGUCCACUCCAUCUACUCAAGAAGUCAAAGACAAUAUCUUCUCUAUUGAUCCUGAUAGUGCACCAGGUCCGGAUGGCCUUAGUGGAAGAUUCUAUCAAACUGCUUGGUCUGUGGUUGGUAAUGAUGUUCAUAGAGCAGUAGUGGCUUUUUUCCAUGGGCCUGUCUUACCUAGGUUUUUCUCUCAUACUUGCCUGAUGAUGCUCCCAAAAGUUGAUUCUCCCUAAAGCUUCUCAGAUAUUAGACCAAUUAGCCUAUGUAAUAUUAUCGGAAAAAUCACUGCCAAGGUUAUCAAUGCUAGACUUAGCUCCCUCUUGCCUAAAAUCAUCUCUACUAACCAAAGUGACUUUGUGAAAGGUAGAGCCAUCACAGAAAACAUUCUUCUGGCUCAGAAAAUUAUUUCUGAUAUUAGGAAACCUAUGAGAGGUGGCAAUGUUGUUAUUAAACUUGACAUGACUAAAGCAUAUGAUAGAGUCUCCUGGCCAUAUCUAUGUUUCAUGUUAAGACAUCUGGGUUUUGCUUAGGAAUGGAUUAAUCUUAUAUAUAGGUUCAUUUUUAAUAACUGGUACUCCUUGAUAGUCAAUGGUAGCAAGCAUGGCUUCUUUAAAUCCAGCAGAGGUCUUAGACAAGGUGAUCCCCUUUCUCCUCCCCUUUUUGUCCUCAGUGUUGAAUUGUUGUCUCAGAUGCUCAAUGCUCUCCAAAACAAUAGGAGAUUCCAUGGUUUCUACAUGAAGAGACAAGGCCCUCAAGUCAACCAUCUGGCCUUUGCUGAUGAUACUAUCCUCUUCACUAGUGGUGAAAAGCACUCCCUCCAACUUAUUCUAAAUAUCCUGAAUACAUAUGAAACUGUUUCUGACCAAUUGAUAAACAAGAACAAAAGCUGCUACUCUAUGGCUGAGAAUACCCCUCAGAGCAUUAUUAGAAGAGUGGAAAUGAUUCUUGGUAUGAGGUUUGAUAAACUCCCCAUGAGGUAUCUAGGCUGCCCUUCUAUUAUGGGAGAAAGAAGAUCUGUAUCUUUGCGGAUAUGAUUACCAAAACCAUCAACAGAGUUAUAGGUUGGCAUCUAAAAUUUUUAUCUAGUGGGGGCAUGGCUGUCCUCAUUAGACAUGUUCUCCUAGCCAUCAAUACUCACACGCUGGCAUCUAUUCAUCCACCUAAAGGGUCACUAGAUGUGAUUGAGAUGUUUAUAGCCAGAUUUUUCUGGUCUGACCAAGAAGAGGGGGAAAGAUACCACUGGGUCUCCUGGUCUAACUUGUGUUUCCCUUAUGAAGAGGGGGAAGCUAAUUUCAGAAGGCUUGAAGAUAUUAAUCAGGCUUUCACGGCUAAACAAUGGUGGAACCUGAGAACCAGUAAUUCCCUAUGGUCUCAAUUCAUGAAAGCCAAAUACUUUGGCAAUGAGCAUCCAGUCAACCUUCAGUGGAGGAAUGGGCAAUCGCAUAGUUGGAAGGCCAUAUGUAAGUUGAAAAGUAAACUGGAGCCCUGCAUCCAAUGACAAUUGAAAAAAGGGAAUAUCAGUUUUUGGUUUGACAACUGGUCCAAGCUUGGUCCUUUACACAAUAGAAUGGGAGGAGCUAUUGUAUAGGAUAAUAUUAAGGUCAAUGAAGUUCUAAAUGAGGGUCUCUGGGAUUGGUCCACUUUAAAUAUCCAGCCUCCUGAUAAUAUGAAAGACCAGAUUUCAGCUCUUCAAAUCAAUCUUCAUCCUGAUGAAAAUGACACCCCAAUCUGGAAUGAAAUUCAAGAUGGAAAGUUCUCCAUAGCCUCUGCCUGGAAGACACUAAGACAGAGGAAACAUAUCUCCCAAUUUGAUAGCAUGAUCUGGCACAAAAAUGUGCCUUUUAAAAUGGCCUGCAUUACGUGGAGAGCUGUCCAUGACAUAAUUCCCACUGAUGAUAGAAUUAAAAAGUUUGGCACUAAUAUUAUUUCUAAGUGUUGUUGUUGUACAAGUUUAAAUAUGCAACCUGCAGAAGAGUCUGUUCAACAUUUGUUCACCAGUGGGCGAUAUGCGCAGCUCAUAUAGGACUACUAUGCUGACAAGGAUACUUCCGCCUAUAGUAAUAUGGGAGUUAUGGAGGUCAAGAUGCAGUUCUAAAUAUGAAAUGGAGAGGCCAACAGUUGUAGGAUCUAUCUUACUGAUCAACUUCAAUAUUAUACAAAAUGUCAAAGCUCAAUUCAGGAAAUUGGAUCUCAACUACACAUGGGAGAACCUGCGCAGAGUUUGGGAACUACCUCUAAUGGAAACUAAUACCUAUGUGGUGAAAUAGAUUAAACCACCUAUCUUGUUCGUGAAACUUAACAGUGAUGGUUCAUGCAGAAAUGGUGAAUGUGGAGGAGGAGGUUUAGUGAGGGACAGUCUGUGCAAAUUUAUAAUGGCCUACUCCAUUUCGCUGGGGCAAUGUACAAGCAGUUGGGCUGAGGCAUGUGCUUUCUUGUUUGGGAUCAAGUGGUGUAUAGAAAAAAGGUUCAACUUAAUCAUUGGUGAAAUUAAUUCAAUGUUACUACAAAAUUGCAUCUCUGGCAACUGGACCAUUCCGUGGAGAAUCAAAGAAGCAGUCCAAGAUAUUAAGAAACUCAUUAAUAGACAAGAUAUCUUCACUAAUCAUUGUUUUAGAGAGGCCAACCAAGUCGCAGAUAGAAUGGCCUCUCUCAGCCACAAUCAGGAAAACCAGUACAUAUGUACAAAUUUUUGCUCUUUACCUAGUCAGAUUAAAGGACUUUUGAACA